GGCUACAUCACAUUGCAACACCGGGCCCAGUACGAUCACCGAAAAUAAGCAACAUUGAGCCUGGUCACUACCGAGAUGGGUGACCGCUUGUGAAUAGCUAGUGCUGCAA